GAUGAACGCUGGCGGCGUGCCUAAUACAUGCAAGUCGAACGCUUUGUGGUUUCAACUGAUUUGAAGAGCUUGCUCAGAUAUGACGAUGGACAUUGCAAAGAGUGGCGAACGGGUGAGUAACACGUGGGAAACCUACCUCUUAGCAGGGGAUAACAUUUGGAAACAGAUGCUAAUACCGUAUAACAAUGACAACCGCAUGGUUGUUAUUUAAAAGAUGGUUCUGCUAUCACUAAGAGAUGGUCCCGCGGUGCAUUAGCUAGUUGGUAAGGUAAUGGCUUACCAAGGCGAUGAUGCAUAGCCGAGUUGAGAGACUGAUCGGCCACAAUGGGACUGAGACACGGCCCAUACUCCUACGGGAGGCAGCAGUAGGGAAUCUUCCACAAUGGGCGAAAGCCUGAUGGAGCAACGCCGCGUGUGUGAUGAAGGGUUUCGGCUCGUAAAACACUGUUGUAAGAGAAGAAUGACAUUGAGAGUAACUGUUCAAUGUGUGACGGUAUCUUACCAGAAAGGAACGGCUAAAUACGUGCCAGCAGCCGCGGUAAUACGUAUGUUCCAAGCGUUAUCCGGAUUUAUUGGGCGUAAAGCGAGCGCAGACGGUUAUUUAAGUCUGAAGUGAAAGCCCUCAGCUCAACUGAGGAAUUGCUUUGGAAACUGGAUGACUUGAGUGCAGUAGAGGAAAGUGGAACUCCAUGUGUAGCGGUGAAAUGCGUAGAUAUAUGGAAGAACACCAGUGGCGAAGGCGGCUUUCUGGACUGUAACUGACGUUGAGGCUCGAAAGUGUGGGUAGCAAACAGGAUUAGAUACCCUGGUAGUCCACACCGUAAACGAUGAGUGCUAGGUGUUUGAGGGUUUCCGCCCUUAAGUGCCGCAGCUAACGCAUUAAGCACUCCGCCUGGGGAGUACGACCGCAAGGUUGAAACUCAAAGGAAUUGACGGGGACCCGCACAAGCGGUGGAGCAUGUGGUUUAAUUCGAAGCAACGCGAAGAACCUUACCAGGUCUUGACAUCCCUUGACAACUCCAGAGAUGGAGUGUUCCCUUCGGGGACAAGGUGACAGGUGGUGCAUGGUUGUCGUCAGCUCGUGUCGUGAGAUGUUGGGUUAAGUCCCGCAACGAGCGCAACCCUUAUUACUAGUUGCCAGCAUUCAGUUGGGCACUCUAGUGAGACUGCCGGUGACAAACCGGAGGAAGGUGGGGAUGACGUCAAAUCAUCAUGCCCCUUAUGACCUGGGCUACACACGUGCUACAAUGGCGUAUACAACGAGUUGCCAACCCGCGAGGGUGAGCUAAUCUCUUAAAGUACGUCUCAGUUCGGAUUGUAGGCUGCAACUCGCCUACAUGAAGUCGGAAUCGCUAGUAAUCGCGGAUCAGCACGCCGCGGUGAAUACGUUCCCGGGUCU
rnacentral:rRNA from 1 species